rnacentral:rRNA from 1 species
GACGAACGCUGGCGGCGUGCUUAACACAUGCAAGUCGAACGGAAAGGCCCUGCUUUUGUGGGGUGCUCGAGUGGCGAACGGGUGAGUAACACGUGAGUAACCUGCCCUUGACUUUGGGAUAACUUCAGGAAACUGGGGCUAAUACCGGAUAGGAGCUCCUGCUGCAUGGUGGGGGUUGGAAAGUUUCGGCGGUUGGGGAUGGACUCGCGGCUUAUCAGCUUGUUGGUGUGGUAGUGGCUUACCAAGGCUUUGACGGGUAGCCGGCCUGAGAGGGUGACCGGCCACAUUGGGACUGAGAUACGGCCCAGACUCGUACGGGAGGCAGCAGUGGGGAAUAUUGCACAAUGGGCGGAAGCCUGAUGCAGCAACGCCGCGUGCGGGAUGACGGCCUUCGGGUGGUAAACCGCUUUCGCCUGUGACGAAGAGUGAGUGACGGUAAUGGGUAAAGAAGCACCGGCUAACUACGUG